UACGGGGGGGGCAAGCGUUGUUCGGAAUUACUGGGCGUAAAGGGCUCGUAGGCGGCCAACUAAGUCAGACGUGAAAUCCCUCGGCUUAACCGGGGAACUGCGUCUGAUACUGGAUGGCUAGAGAUUGGGAGAGGGAUGCGGAAUUCCAGGUGUAGCGGUGAAAUGCGUAGAUAUCUGGAGGAACACCGGUGGCGAAGGCGGCAUCCUGGACCAACACUGACGCUGAGGAGCGAAAGCCAGGGGAGCAAACGGGG
rnacentral:rRNA from 1 species